UACGAGGGGGGCAAGCGUUGUUCGGAGUUACUGGGCGUAAAGGGCGCGUAGGCGGCUUUUCAAGUCUGGUGUGAAAUCUCCCGGCUCAACUGGGAGGGUGCGCCGGAUACUGAGGGGCUAGAGUGUGGGAGAGGAAAGUGGAAUUCCUGGUGUAGCGGUGAAAUGCGUAGAUAUCAGGAGGAACACCGGUGGUGUAAACGGCUUUCUGGACCAUAACUGACGCUGAGGCACGAAAGCGUGGGUAGCAAACAGG
rnacentral:rRNA from 1 species